AAAUUUGUUUUACUUUUAUAACCUAAACUUUUCCUUCUCAAUGCCGAUCCUUUCCUUCCCUCUCCCUCUAACAUGGGUUCUUCCCUCUCCGCGACAUCCCCUUCUUUCUUUCCUAUCCACGAUAGCAAGGGUUCUUCCCUCUCCGCGGCACCACCUUCUUUCUUAAUUUCCUCUCUGUAAUAGCAAGGUUUCUUUCCUCUCUACAGCAAGCAAGGAAGAGCAAAGCCCGAGAUAUCGAGUUUCUCCUCCCAAUUCUGUACUUUUAAGCAAGCUUGUCGGGAAACAAAAUGGAGUUGGAGGAACUGGAUAUAGUGUCAACAAAUGAAGGUGACUUGAUAUAUGUUUUUCUAAACAAAAUGGAGUUGGAGGAACUUAAUGUUUUGAGUGCAUUUGUAAAUACUUUUAGCUAGUUUUGACUAGUUUUGGAAUCAAUAUUUUUACAAUAGUAUUACAUUUGUAAAUUUGACUCAAAUGAUAAUUAGAUGAAUAAAAAUUCAGUGGCAUGUGGUGGAUGAA